UGCCUGUCUGUGUCUGUGAGUGUGUGUGUGUCUGUCUGUCUGUCUGUGUCUGUGCGCGCAGAGCACAACUCCGGGCACCCCCAGCCCCCACCCCCUCCAGAGAAGAAGAGCUCAGCCCCGUCCUGGCAUCUACAACAGCAUCGGUCAAAGGAGAAAGGAAAGUUCGGAAAGCUUCGCUGACUGGCACAAGGCUGGGAACCCAGGAGCAAAGUCAGGAAGGAAAUCAGGACGUGCCCGCGCCGGGCCUGGCUGGGUUGAAAGUAGACAAGCCCAGAGAUGGUCUCUAACAGCCCAAAGCAGGUAAGAGGCCAUCAGCAGACUCCACAGCUCGUGUUCAGAGCCAAGCAGCAGAGAUUCAAGGUGUUCGCCCCUCCCCCAGCUCUACGCUUCUGCCUUUUCAUUCUACUUGAAAACCCACGCAGAUUCAUACACACUCUGCCCACGUGUGUUCACCAGCAGAUAGCGCCCGUGCAGCAAACACUGUCGCCGCGAAACCUGGAUUGUGCCUAGGAGCGAGUUUCAGGUUUCUAAGACUCCGCAAAAAGUCUUUCAAGGCCAUCCCAUUUUCCUCCAACUUAUUUCCAAACACCGGAAUCUUACCAGGACAUCUUUACCCUGAAACUCAUACCGAUCUUCCAUGGCCGUCGAUGUUAAAAGUAGCCAGAGAAGAUACUCGGAUUUCUCAAGAAAGACAGAGAGGGAGAGGGAGAGGAGAGAGAGAGACUAUUACCUGCAAUUCACCAGCAAAAAGCCAGA